AGUGAACGCUGGCGGUAGGCCUAACACAUGCAAGUCGAACGGCAGCACAGUAAGAGCUUGCUCUUACGGGUGGCGAGUGGCGGACGGGUGAGGAAUACAUCGGAAUCUACUUUUUCGUGGGGGAUAACGUAGGGAAACUUACGCUAAUACCGCAUACGACCUACGGGUGAGAGCAGGGGAUCUUCGGACCUUGCGCGAUUGAAUGAGCCGUAGUCGGAUUAGCUAGUUGGCGGGGUAAAGGCCCACCAAGGCGACGAUCCGUAGCUGGUCUGAGAGGAUGAUCAGCCACACUGGAACUGAGACACGGUCCAGACUCCUACGGGAGGCAGCAGUGGGGAAUAUUGGACAAUGGGCGCAAGCCUGAUCCAGCCAUACCGCGUGGGUGAAGAAGGCCUUCGGGUUGUAAAGCCCUUUUGUUGGGAAAGAAAAGCAGCAGGUUAAUACCCCGCUGUUCUGACGGUACCCAAAGAAUAAGCACCGGCUAACUUCGUG
rnacentral:rRNA from 1 species